ensembl:snoRNA
CUGCAUCCACUGAUAGACCUUGAACAGUGAUGUUGUUCUUUUGGUUUGCACUAGGAUGCGACAGCAAAAUCCCCGCGCUUUCUGUCUGUCUGUGUGGCGGCCCAGAUUGAAUAGGGGACUACAUAC